UUUAAGGCGUCAGAUUUAGGCUCUGAUAUCUACGGAUUCGCGGGUUCGAAUCCCGUAGCUCUCA